rnacentral:rRNA from 1 species
GACGAACGCUGGCGGCGUGCCUAAUACAUGCAAGUCGAGCGAGCGGAACCAACAGAUUUACUUCGGUAAUGACGUUAGGAAAGCGAGCGGCGGAUGGGUGAGUAAUGCGUGACCGACCUGCCCCGUACACCGGAAUAGCUCCUGGAAACGGGUGGUAAUGCCGGAUGCUCCAAUGCGAUGCAUGUCGCGUUGGGAAAGAUUUCAUCGGUACGGGAUGGGGUCGCGUCCUAUCAGGUAGUCGGCGGGGUAACGGCCCACCGAGCCUACGACGGGUAGCCGGCCUGAGAGGGCGACCGGCCACAUUGGGGCUGAGAUACGGCCCAG